rnacentral:lncRNA from 1 species
AGCGAUGCUCGCGUCUCUGCUUUGGGCUCCGUCUUCCCAUAGCCGCCUUCAGGUAUGGCUCCAGCGGCUGCGGGAAAGAGGAGUUGUUGUUGGCCACUCCACUUCUGCCUGUCUCAUGGCCUCAUGGAAACUGGCUGUAUAUUGUCCUCACCGGAAGCGGCCAGCCACCUCGGUGAAGGACCGCCCCAUGCACUGCAAUUCCCAGCAUGCCUUUCGAACAAAUCGAAGGCGGAGCCUAUUGUCCCCUUGCGGCGGAUCCACACCUCGGAUUGGCUGCUUUUAGUUUGGCUUGAGAAGCGGUAUUGGGUUCAGCAUCCCUGAUGCUGUGCCGCCAAGUGUGAUUCUGUAAAUAGCCAGUAUCCAAGCAUUGCAGUUGGGUGUGGUGGGGGUGGGGUGAGUGCGUUUAGGUUUUCUGUGUACCUGUCUGUCUGUCUAUCAGUCUUUCUUCGUUUUCUUUGCCUUUUUUUGACCAAGUCUCGUAUAGCCGACACUGCUCAGGAACCGGUUAUGUUGUUGAGAUCUUCCUGCCUGCGCUUCUCAUACGGGUAUGUGUCACUCGUCCCACUUUACCUCACUACAGUCCUUUAAGGUAAUGUCAAAAUCCCCGUUUUAGAAGUGAUUCUGAGGUCGGGCGUGGUGGCGCACGCCUUUAAUCCCAGCACUUGGGAGGCAGAGGCAGGCGGGUUUCUGAGUUCGAGGCCAGCCUGGUCUACAAAGUGAGUUCCAGGACAGCCAGGGCUAUAAAGAGAAACCCUGUCUCGAAAAAACCGAAAAGAAAAAAAAAAAAAAAGAAAGAAAGAAAACAAAUGAAAUGAUUCUGAGAUUCAGAAAGGCUAAUCAGACUUGCUGCCUGACUCCCCACUUCAUCCCCGGGAUUAGGAAUUGAGGGCUAAGAGAGAAGGCUCAACCCUAAACUAAAGAAAACUUACCUUUCCCUCCUUGAUGUGGAUGCCUUCUCAGAGGGAAGAUGGGACUUUUUAGAUUCCGACUUUCUUAGAUUGAGGUGAC